CUUCCUCCAAGCCUUUCUCCUCAUGAACCAUACUUUGGAAAGCUUUCUCAACCUUCCCUUCUUACAGUUUGUCACACCCUUCCACUGAAUUGACUUCUUGUUCUUCUCACACACAUCACAAAUGUAUUGAACAAGCUCACACAUCUCAUUCACAAGAAAGUUAAAGAUAACAUCUUGUUCUCUCCUUUCUUGAAUUACCUCUGGCCUUGCUGUAAGCUCCAGCCACACUUCUUUCAGCCUUCCCACAAGCUGAUAAAGCUCAUCCUUUCCUUGUUUCCAGUCACAGAUCACUCUCUUGUCC
rnacentral:lncRNA from 1 species